GACAGAGGAUGCAAACGUUGCUCGGAAUUACUGGGCGUAAAGCGCGUGUAGGCGGUUUCGCACGUCCGGUGUGAAAGCCCAGGGCUCAACCCUGGAAGUGCACUGGAUACGACGAAGCUGGAGUACUGAAGAGGAGAGCGGAAUUCCUGGUGUAGAGGUGAAAUUCGUAGAUAUCAGGAGGAACAUCAGUGGCGAAGGCGGCUCUCUGGGCAGAUACUGACGCUGAGACGCGAAAGCAUGGGGAGCAAACAGGAUUAGAUACCCUGGUAGUCCAUGCUGUAAACGAUGAGAACUGGGUGUUGAGGGUAUUGACCCCCUCGGUGCCGAAGCCAACGCGUUAAGUUCUCCGCCUGGGAAGUACGGCCGCAAGGCUAAA
rnacentral:rRNA from 1 species